UCUCCGUAGGUGAACCUGCGGAGGGAUCAUUACAGAGUUCAUGCCCUACCGGGUAGAUCUCCCACCCUAUGUUAUUAUUACUUUGUUGCUUUGGCGGGCCGUUAGGCUCCGGCCCGACUACCGGCCCCGGCUGGUAAGCGCCCGCCAGGGGACCCAAAACCCUGAAUAUUAGUGUCGUCUGAGUACUAUAUAAUAGUUAAAACUUUCAACAACGGAUCUCUUGGCUCUG
rnacentral:misc_RNA from 1 species